UAAUACGGAGGGGGCUAGCGUUGUUCGGAAUUACUGGGCGUAAAGCGUACGUAGGCGGAUCUGCAAGUUGGGGGUGAAAUCCCGGGGCUUAACCCCGGAAUUGCCCUCAAAACUGUGGAUCUUGAGACCGAGAGAGGUAAGGGGAAUUCCGAGUGUAGAGGUGAAAUUCGUAGAUAUUCGGAAGAACACCAGUGGCGAAGGCGCCUUACUGGCUCGGACCUGACGCUGAGGUACGAAAGCGUGGGGAGCAAACAGGAUUAGAUACCCUGGUAGUCCACGCCGUAAACGAUGAGUGCUAGAUGUUGGGGUCCUUAGGGCUUCAGUGUCGCAGCUAACGCGUUAAGCACUCCGCCUGGGGAGUACGGCCGCAAGGUUAAAACUCAAAGGAAUUGACGG
rnacentral:rRNA from 1 species